ACCCUGUCCUCCUAUUUUCAGUUGGUUUUGGCAGCGCGAGGACUAGGGUAAUGAUUAAUAGGGAUAGUUGGGGGCAUUAAUAUUUAAUUGUCAGAGGUGAAAUUCUUGGAUUUAUGAAAGAUUAACUUCUGCGAAAGCAUCUGCCAAGGAUGUUUUCAUUAAUCAAGAACGAAAGUUAGGGGAUCGAAGACGAUCAGAUACCGUCGUAGUCUUAACCAUAAACGAUGCCGACCAGCGAUUAGGAGACGUUGAAUACAAAACACCACCAUCGGCGCGGUCGUCCUUGGCGUUCGUGUUCAC
rnacentral:rRNA from 1 species